UUUCUGCUCGGCUCGCAGGCGCACUGCACGAGUGGAGGCGUGGCUAGUGGCUGUGAUGAGAUAAAUCCAUGCAUAGCCUUUUCAUUGCGAGCUUGAAAGUUCUUUUCUAUUACAGUUUUAGCUUUAGGUUUAAUUGGUUCGACUGCCUUCUCCACAAUUUGGGCGAGAAUUUCCUUUGCCUUCUCAGCAAAAGUUGUUCUGCGGACCCGUCUGGGUCAACUUUCAUGAGGGACAUUGAGACAAACAAAUGAAAUAUGGGUCAAAGUACUCUGAGCAGCUACAAAAAGACCAGUCUAUCCUGCUGGAGACAGUGGCCAUGUGAAGAAAGAGCUCUUGCAGUAUGAAAGACCACAUGGAAAGAGAGGCCACAUGGAACCAACAGUCAGCAUCUUGGUUUCAGACACGUGAAGAAAUUCAUCUCAGACUGUGUAUCCUAAAUCAGGCACUUGCUGAAUCCAACUACAUGAGUGAGACCAGUUGACAACACAUGGAGCAGACAUGAGCUGUUCUCACCACACAGCUGAACUACCAGACAUAUGAAUGAAGCUAGUUUGGAAGUUCCAGCCCUGGCUAAGCAUCCAGCUGAAUGCAGCCACCUGAGUGACCCCAGCCAAUAAUAUCCAGAGCAGGAGAAUCAUCCAGUUCCCAGUGUCUCCUCUAGAAUGCAGUUUCAAUCUUCCAACCACAGCUUGGGAGGCUGUUCCAGUCUUGCUGACUUUUAGUAAGAAGAAAACAGUUUCCAGUGAAGACAGGGUCUCCUUCUGUUGCCCAGGCUGGAGUGCAGUGGCACAACCAUGGCUCACUGCAGCCUCAACCUCCCAGGCCCUAGUGAUCCUUCCUACCUCAGCCUCCUGAGUAGCUGGGAGCACAG